rnacentral:rRNA from 1 species
UACGUAGGAGACGAGCGUUGUCCGGAGUUACUGGGCGUAAAGGGUGCGCAGGCGGCCUGGCGCGUCGCGAGUGAAAUCUCCUGGCUCAACUGGGAGGGUGGUCGCGAGACGGCUGGGCUUGAGGCUCGGUGAGGGGCGUGGAAUCCGGGUGGAGCGGUGAAAUGCGUAGAGAUCCGGAGGAACACCGACGGCGUAGGCAGCGCCCUAGACGAGACCUGACGCUCAGGCACGAAAGCGCGGGGAGCGAACAGG